rnacentral:rRNA from 1 species
GCUUAACACAUGCAAGUCGAACGGUAGCAGGUCCUUCGGGAUGCUGACGAGUGGCGGACGGGUGCGUAACGCGUGGGAAUCUGCCCAAUAGUGGGGGAUAACCCGGGGAAACUCGGGCUAAUACCGCAUACUCCCUACGGGGGAAAGCGGGGGACCGUAAGGCCUCGCGCUAUUGGAUGAGCCCGCGUCCGAUUAGCUUGUUGGUGGGGUAAAGGCCUACCAAGGCGACGAUCGGUAGCUGGUCUGAGAGGACGACCAGCCACACUGGGACUGAGACACGGCCCAGACUCCUACGGGAGGCAGCAGUGGGGAAUAUUGGACAAUGGGGGAAACCCUGAUCCAGCAAUGCCGCGUGUGUGAAGAAGGCCUGCGGGUUGUAAAGCACUUUCGGCAGGAAAGAAAAGUCAUGCGCCAAUACCGCGUGACCUUGACGUUACCUGCAAAAGAAGCACCGGCUAACUCCGUGCCAGCAGCCGCGGUAAUAC